CAUUCCUUAACAGUGAGGCCGGGGCGUUCCCCUCCAGAAAGCGGGCACUGAACCAUCUCCUAGCCAGGGAAGCAGCACCCUGGAAAACCGGGUGUCUUCAUAUCUCCCAUAAUUCUCUCUGCUGGAGGAAGAUACCACCCCGGAUCGGCCGCAGGCGAUGCCUUCACUACCGUCCAAGGUUCUGUCCAUCCGAGAUGAAGUGGACAGCACGGCCUCAGUCCGGCUCCUCUCUAAAGUGUCAGAAACUAUUCAUGGCAUCAGCCUGAGGGGCCGGGUGGUGGCAGGGGUCAUGGUGGCCAUGUUGGUCAUCAUGCUCAUGGUGAUGUUGUUUUUGUGGAACUACAAGUGCAUUGUGGUCGACCAACUCUGCCAGGGAAUCGAGGAGAUCCAGACCCCAAUAUUUACCAAUGAAUAAAUUAUGAGCGGAGUGACACCAGUGAUGCAUUGUAUCAGCCCUGGAGGGG